AGUGAACGCUGGCGGUAGGCCUAACACAUGCAAGUCGAACGGCAGCACAGUAAGAGCUUGCUCUUACGGGUGGCGAGUGGCGGACGGGUGAGGAAUACAUCGGAAUCUACUUUUUCGUGGGGGAUAACGUAGGGAAACUUACGCUAAUACCGCAUACGACCUACGGGUGAAAGCAGGGGAUCUUCGGACCUUGCGCGAUUGAAUGAGCCGAUGUCGGAUUAGCUAGUUGGCGGGGUAAAGGCCCACCAAGGCGACGAUCCGUAGCUGGUCUGAGAGGAUGAUCGGCCACACUGGAACUGAGACACGGUCCAGACUCCUACGGGAGGCAGCAGUGGGGAAUAUUGGACAAAGGGCGCAAGCCUGAUCCAGCCGUACCGCGUGGGUGAAGAAGGCCUUCGGGUUGUAAAGCCCUUUUGUUGGGAAAGAAAAGCAGCAGGUUAAUACCCCGCUGUUCUGACGGUACCCAAAGAAUAAGCACCGGCUAACUUCGUG
rnacentral:rRNA from 1 species